UACAGAGGGGGCAAGCGUUGUUCGGAAUUACUGGGCGUAAAGCGCACGUAGGCGGAUGUGCCAGUCAGGGGUGAAAUCCCGGAGCUCAACUCCGGAACUGCCUCUGAUACAGCACGUCUUGAGUUCGAGAGAGGUGGGUGGAAUUCCUAGUGUAGAGGUGAAAUUCGUAGAUAUUAGGAAGAACACCGGUGGCGAAGGCGGCCCACUGGCUCGAUACUGACGCUGAGGUGCGAAAGCGUGGGGAGCAAACAGGG
rnacentral:rRNA from 1 species